UACGGAGGGUGCAAGCGUUAUCCGGAUUCACUGGGUUUAAAGGGUGCGUAGGAGGGCAGGUAAGUCAGUGGUGAAAUCUCCGAGCUUAACUCGGAAACUGCCGUUGAUACUAUCUGUCUUGAAUACCGUGGAGGUGAGCGGAAUAUGUCAUGUAGCGGUGAAAUGCUUAGAUAUGACGCAGAACACCAAUUGCGAAGGCAGCUUGCUACACUGUUAUUGACACUGAGGCACGAAAGCGUGGGGAUCAAACAGG
rnacentral:rRNA from 1 species